rnacentral:misc_RNA from 1 species
AAGUCGUAACAAGGUUUCCGUAGGUGAACCUGCGGAAGGAUCAUUAACACGUAUCCAACGUUAAACAACCCUGUGAACCUUCAGACAGUUCUUCUAGCCCACGCGGAACAGCAAUCCCGGUAAAUCAAGUGGCGGAAAGUUUUUUGAUUCGGGACCUCUGUCCGAGUGGUAUCAAGUUAGAAUCCGAACUUGAGCAGUGGCAUGGUUUCCCUACGCAGUGCAGAAGGAUCCACUGAUAAGGAUGACGCCUCACGGUUGAGACAUGUCACAGGGUCACCACGCCCCUUAAUCACUCCACUUGAAAAUGCCCCGCCUAGUGGUAACGCUAGGUAAAAAAAACCGAACAACUGUUAACAAUGGAUCUUGGUUCUC